UACAGAGGUCCCGAGCGUUGUUCGGAUUCACUGGGCGUAAAGGGUGCGUAGGUGGCCUGAAAAGUUUGAUGUGAAAGCUCAGGGCUUAACCCUGAAAUGGCAUUGUAUACUGUCGGGCUGGAGGUUUGGAGGGGGGACUGGAAUUCUUGGUGUAGCAGUGAAAUGCGUAGAUAUCAAGAGGAACACCAGUGGCGAAGGCGAGUCCCUGGACAACACCUGACACUGAGGCACGAAAGCUAGGGGAGCAAACAGG
rnacentral:rRNA from 1 species